rnacentral:rRNA from 1 species
AAGACCUUGCGCUUUUAGAGCGGCCGAUGCCUGAUUAGCUUGUUGGUAAGGUAAAGGCUUACCAAGGCUUCGAUCAGUAGCUGGUCUGAGAGGACGACCAGCCACACUGGGACUGAGACACGGCCAGACUCCUACGGGAGGCAGCAGUGGGGAAUUUUGGACAAUGGGGGCAACCCUGAUCCAGCCAUGCCGCGUGAGUGAAGAAGGCCUUCGGGUUGUAAAGCUCUUUCAGCCGGAACGAAACGGUUACGGUUAAUACCCGUGACUAAUGACGGUACCGGAAGAAGAAGCACCGGCUAACUACGUGCCAGCAGCCGCGGUAAUACGUAGGGUGCGAGCGUUAAUCGGAAUUACUGGGCGUAAAGCGUGCGCAGGUGGUUUUGUAAGUCAGAUGUGAAAGCCCCGGGCUCAACCUGGGAACU